UAGCUCAGUCAGUUGAGCGUGGCGCUAACAACGCCAAGGUCGCGGGUUCGAUUCCUGU
rnacentral:tRNA from 1 species